UACGUAGGCAGCGAGCGUUGUUCGGAGUUACUGGGCGUAAAGCGUGCGUAGGCGGUGUCUUAAGUUUGUUUGUGAAAAUCUCCCCGGCUUAACCGGGAGGGUGCGGCGAAUACUGAGAUGCUGGAGUGCGGGAGAGGUAAGCGGAAUCCUGGUGUAGCGGUGAAUGCGUAGAUAUCAGGAGGAACACCUGCGGUGUAGACGGCUUACUGGACCGUAACUGACGCUGAGGCACGAAGCGUGGGUAGCAAACAGG
rnacentral:rRNA from 1 species